CACGUAGGCACCAAGCGUUGUCCGGAUUUAUUGGGCGUAAAGAGCUCGUAGGCGGUUCGGUAAGUCGGGUGUGAAAACUUUGGGCUCAACCCAAAGCCUGCACUCGAUACUGCUGUGACUUGAGUCCGGUAGGGGAGUGGGGAAUUCCUGGUGUAGCGGUGGAAUGCGCAGAUAUCAGGAGGAACACCGGUGGCGAAGGCGGGUCUCUGGGCAGUAACUGACGCUGAGGAGCGAAAGCGUGGGGAGCGAACAGG
rnacentral:rRNA from 1 species